rnacentral:rRNA from 1 species
GAUGAACGCUGACAGAAUGCUUAACACAUGCAGUCACUGAUUGCGGCCGACGGGUGAGUAACUCGUAUAGAACUUACCUCCCAGUUAGGGACAAUAUUUGGAAGCGACUGCUAAUACCUAAUCCUGUGAGAUAGCUUUGCGUCCCAUUAGCUAGUUGGAGAGGUAACGGCUCACCAAGGCGAGGAUGGCUAGCCGGCCUGAGAGGGUGAUCGGCCACAAGGGGACUGAGGAACGGCCCUUAGUCAUACGGGAGGAAGCAGUGGGAAAUAUUGGACAAUGGGCCAAAGUCUGAACCAGCAAUUCUGUGUGCAAGAUGAAGUUUUCGGAAUGUAAAGUGCUUUCAGUUGGGAAGCGGUACCAACAGAAGAAGUGACGGCUAAAUACGUGCCAGCAGCCGCGGUAAUAC